AGCAGUGGGGAAUAUUGCACAAUGGGGGAAACCCUGAUGCAGCGACGCCGCGUGAGUGAAGAAGUAUCUCGGUACGUAAAGCUCUAUCAGCAGGGAAGAAAAAAAGUCUUUGGCUUUGGACGGUACCUGACUAAGAAGCCCCGGCUAACUACGUGCCAGCAGCCGCGGUAAUACGUAGGGGGCAAGCGUUAUCCGGAUUUACUGGGUGUAAAGGGAGCGUAGACGGCAGCGCAAGUCUGGAGUGAAAUGCCGGGGCUCAACCCCGGAACUGCUUUGGAAACUGUGCAGCUAGAGUGCGGGAGAGGUAAGCGGAAUUCCUAGUGUAGCGGUGAAAUGCGUAGAUAUUAGGAGGAACACCAGUGGCGAAGGCGGCUUGCUGGACCGUAACUGACGUUGAGGCUCGAAAGCGUGGGGAGCAAACAGGAUUAGAUACCCUGGUAGUCCACGCCGUAAACGAUGAUUACUAGGUGUCGGGGGACCAAGGUGCUCCG
rnacentral:rRNA from 1 species